UGGGGAAUAUUGGACAAUGGGCGAAAGCCUGAUCCAGCCAUGCCGCGUGUGUGAAGAAGGUCUUCGGAUUGUAAAGCACUUUAAGUUGGGAGGAAGGGCAGUAAGCGAAUACCUUGCUGUUUUGACGUUACCGCCAGAAUAAGCACCGGCUAACUCUGUGCCAGCAGCCGCGGUAAUACAGAGGGUGCAAGCGUUAAUCGGAAUUACUGGGCGUAAAGCGCGCGUAGGUGGUUCGUUAAGUUGAAUGUGAAAGCCCCGGGCUCAACCUGGGAACUGCAUCCAAAACUGGCGAGCUAGAGUAGGGCAGAGGGUGGUGGAAUUUCCUGUGUAGCGGUGAAAUGCGUAGAUAUAGGAAGGAACACCAGUGGCGAAGGCGACCACCUGGGCUCAUACUGACACUGAGGUGCGAAAGCGUGGGGAGCAAACAGG
rnacentral:rRNA from 1 species